rnacentral:rRNA from 1 species
AGCUUAAUGAGGGGAACUCAGGGAACUGAAACAUCUAAGUACCUGAAGGAAGAGAAAGAAAUUCGAUUCCGUAAGUAGCGGCGAGCGAACGCGGAUUAGCCCAAACCAAUAAAGUUUUCUUUAUUGGGGUUGCGGACAUAUCAUAACGAAGAGGUAUCGUAAUUGAAGAGGUUUGGAAAGACCCACCACAGAAGGUAAUAGUCCUGUAUGUUAAACGAGAAGACUUUAGAUAUGAUCCAGAGUACCACGGGACACGUGAAACCCUGUGGGAAGCAGGAGGGACCACCCUCCAAGGCUAAAUACUACCUAGUGACCGAUAGCGUAUAGUACCGUGAGGGAAAGGUGAAAAGAACCCCGGGAGGGGAGUGAAAUAGAACCUGAAACCCUGCACUUACAAGCUGUGGAAGCACAUUUCUUGUGUGACCGCGUACUUUUUGUAGAACGGGCCAACGAGUUACGUUAAGUAGCAAGGUUAAGCACUUAAGGUGCGGAGCCGUAGCGAAAGCGAGUUUUAACUGAGCGUUCAGUUACUUGACGUAGACCCGAAACCGGGCGACCUACCCAUGAGCAGGAUGAAGCGAAAGUAAAAUUUCGUGGAGGUCCGAACCCACGAGCGUUGAAAAGCUCGGGGAUGACUUGUGGGUAGCGGUGAAAUUCCAAUCGAGCCCGGAGAUAGCUGGUUCUCCCCGAAAUAGCUUUAGGGCUAGCCUCAAGGUGAGAGAUACGGAGGUAGAGCACUGAAUGUCCUAGGGGGUAUUGCACCUACCGAAGACUAUCAAACUCCGAAUGCCGUCAUCUUAUACUUGGGAGUCAGACUGUGGGUGAUAAGAUUCAUAGUCGAAAGGGCAACAGCCCAGAUCGUCAGCUAAGGUCCCUAAAUGUAAGUUAAGUGGUAAAGGAUGUGGGAUUGCACAGACAACCAGGAUGUUGGCUUAGAAGCAGCCACUCAUUCAAAGAGUGCGUAAUAGCUCACUGGUCGAGUGAUCCUGCGCCGAAGAUUUCCGGGGCUAAAACUUACUACCGAAGCUACGGCAUCAGUAAUGAUGGGUAGGGGAGCUUCCCAUACGGGUUGAAGCAUGACCGUAAGGACAUGUGGACAGUAUGGGAGUGAGAAUGUUGGCAUGAGUAGCGAGAUGUGGGUGAGAAUCCCACAGGCCGUAAACCCAAGGUUUCCAGGGGAAGGUUCGUCCGCCCUGGGUUAGUCGGGACCUAAGCUGAGGCCGAAAGGCGUAGGUGAUGGACAACAGGUUGAUAUUCCUGUACUACCGAUAACCGUUUGAGAGAAGGGAUGACACAGUAGGAUAAGCUAAGCACACUGUUGGUUAUGUGUGCCCAAGCAUUGAGGCAGUCAAAGUAGGCAAAUCCGCUUUGAUAAUGCUGGGAUGUGAUGGGGAGCGAAAUUUAGUAGCGAAGUAGCUGAUUUCACACUGUCAAGAAAAGUCUCUAUCGAGGUUAAAGGUACCCGUACCGCAAACCGACACAGGUGGGUGAGGAGAGUAUCCUAAGGCCAGCGAGAGAACUGUUGUUAAGGAACUCGGCAAAAUGACCCCGUAACUUAGGGAUAAGGGGUGCCACCAUCAGGUGGCCGCAGAGAAUAGGCCCAAGCGACUGUUUACCAAAAACAUAGGUUUCUGCUAAGUCGCAAGACGAUGUAUAGGAGCUGACGCCUGCCCGGUGCUGGAAGGUUAAGGGGAUCUGUUAGAGCAAUCGAAGCAGUGAACUUAAGCCCCAGUAAACGGCGGCCGUAACUAUAACGGUCCUAAGGUAGCGAAAUUCCUUGUCGGGUAAGUUCCGACCCGCACGAAAGGCGUAACGAUUUGGGCACUGUCUCAACAACAGACUCGGUGAAAUUGUAAUUCCGGUGAAGAUGCCGGAUACCUGCGACAGGACGGAAAGACCCCAUGGAGCUUUACUGUAGCUUGACAUUGGGUCUUGGUACUACAUGUACAGGAUAGGUGGGAGGCUUUGAAACCAGGACGCCAGUUUUGGCGGAGCCAUCCUUGGGAUACCACCCUUGUAGUACUGGGACUCUAACCAUAGGCCAUGAAUCUGGUCUUGGGACACUGUCAGGUGGGCAGUUUGACUGGGGCGGUCGCCUCCCAAAAGGUAACGGAGGCGCUCAAAGGUUCUCUCAGUACGGUCGGAAAUCGUACGUAGAGUGUAAAGGCAAAAGAGAGCUUGAUUGCAAGACAUACAGGUCGAGCAAGGAUGAAAAUCGGACUUAGUGAUCCGGUGGUUCUGCGUGGAAGGGCCAUCGCUCAACGGAUAAAAGCUACCCUGGGGAUAACAGGCUUAUCUCCCCCAAGAGUCCACAUCGACGGGGAGGUUUGGCACCUCGAUGUCGGCUCAUCACAUCCUGGGGCUGUAGUAGGUCCCAAGGGUUGGGCUGUUCGCCCAUUAAAGUGGUACGCGAGCUGGGUUCAGAACGUCGUGAGACAGUUCGGUCCCUAUCCGUCGCAGGCGUAGGAAAUUUGAGAAGACCUGUCCUUAGUACGAGAGGACCGGGAUGGACGUACCUCUGGUGUACCAGUUGUCCUGCCAAGGGCAUGGCUGGGUAGCUAUGUACGGAAUGGAUAAGCGCUGAAAGCAUCUAAGCGCGAAGCCAACUUCAAGAUAAGAUUUCCCACCGCAAGGGUAAGACCCCAGAAAGACUAUCUGGUUGA